rnacentral:rRNA from 1 species
UGGGGAAUCUUCCGCAAUGGACGAAAGUCUGACGGAGCAACGCCGCGUGUAUGAUGAAGGUCUUCGGAUUGUAAAGUACUGUCAUUGGGGAAGAACGGUUUUCUUGAAAAGAUUGAGAAGACAUGACGGUACCCAAGGAGGAAGCCCCGGCUAACUACGUGCCAGCAGCCGCGGUAAUACGUAGGGGGCAAGCGUUGUCCGGAAUUAUUGGGCGUAAAGGGCGCGUAGGCGGGCCUUUAAGUCCGGUGUGAAAGAUCAGGGCUCAACCCUGAGAGUGCAUCGGAAACUGGAGGCCUUGAGGACAGGAGAGGAAAGUGGAAUUCCACGUGUAGCGGUGAAAUGCGUAGAUAUGUGGAGGAACACCAGUGGCGAAGGCGACUUUCUGGACUGUAACUGACGCUGAGGCGCGAAAGCGUGGGGAGCAAACAGGAUUAGAUACCCUGGUAGUCCACGCCGUAAACGAUGAGUGCUAGGUGUAGAGGGUAUCGACCCCUUCUGUGCCGCAGUUAACACAAUAAGCACUCCGCCUGGGGAGUACGGCCGCAAGGUUGAAACUUAAAGGAAUUGACGGGGUCAUAGCUGUUUCC